UACGUAGGGAGCAAGCGUUGUUCGGAUUUACUGGGCGUAAAGGGCUAGUAGGCGGCUUAGCAAGUCGGGUGUGAAAACUUCAGGCUCAACCUGGAGCGGCCAUCCGAUACUGCUAUGGCUAGAGUCCGGUAGGGGACCACGGAAUUCCUGGUGUAGCGGUGAAAUGCGCAGAUAUCAGGAGGAACACCGGUGGCGAAGGCGGUGGUCUGGGCCGGAACUGACGCUGAAUAGCGAAAGCGUGGGUAGCGAACAGG
rnacentral:rRNA from 1 species